rnacentral:rRNA from 1 species
UACGUAGGGUGCGAGCGUUAAUCGGAAUUACUGGGCGUAAAGCGUGCGCAGGCGGUUUUGUAAGCCAGAUGUGAAAUCCCCGGGCUUAACCUGGGAAUGGCAUUUGGGACUGCAAGGCUCGAGUGCGGCAGAGGAGACUGGAAUUCCUGGUGUAGCAGUGAAAUGCGUAGAUAUCAGGAGGAACACCGAUGGCGAAGGCGGCGACCUGGGUAGAUACUGACGCUGAGGUGCGAAAGCGUGGGGAGCAAACAGG